rnacentral:rRNA from 1 species
AGUGAACGCUGGCGGUAGGCCUAACACAUGCAAGUCGAACGGCAGCACAGUAAGAGCUUGCUCUUACGGGUGGCGAGUGGCGGACGGGUGAGGAAUACAUCGGAAUCUACUUUUUCGUGGGGGAUAACGUAGGGAAACUUACGCUAAUACCGCAUACGACCUACGGGUGAAAGCAGGGGAUCUUCGGACCUUGCGCGAUUGAAUGAGCCGAUGUCGGAUUAGCUAGUUGGCGGGGUAAGGGCCCACCAAGGUGACGAUCCGUAGCUGGUCUGAGAGGAUGAUCAGCCACACUGGAACUGAGACACGGUCCAGACUCCUACGGGAGGCAGCAGUGGGGAAUAUUGGACAAUGGGCGCAAGCCUGAUCCAGCCAUACCGCGUGGGUGAAGAAGGCCUUUGGGUUGUAAAGCCCUUUUGUUGGGAAAGAAAAGCAGCAGGUUAAUACCCCGCUGUUCUGACGGUACCCAAAGAAUAAGCACCGGCUAACUUCGUG